rnacentral:lncRNA from 1 species
AAGAGCUAAACCUGUUCUCUGUGCUUGACAUCAGGUGAAAUCCCUUGUUUCUCUAUAGGAAGAAUAUAUUCACUAGUUGGCCGCUAGGCAGGUUGAGAGGCUAGUGCUGACUGGAUAAUUGCUACACUGCACAACCAAGCAGGAAAGAAAGUUGGGCCUCUCUUCAGUUAAAGCCUUUCCCUUCCUCAUUCCUCCUGGGCAGUGAUACUGACCAAGACAGAAUUUUGGGACAGAAGUCCAAAACUCCCCUCAACAGAAUGAGCAGUUGGACCCACAAACAUAGCAUUCCUAGUUAAAGAACCCCCUCAAAAUCUAGCAUUGCCAAGCUGCACUGGUGCUCCUGGGUCUCAAGACUUAAAGAAGCCCUCCAGAGUAGGUAGGACAAAUAGUGCUAAAGAUCCAACAGCUGAUUUAUUUGCAGGGCUCCUAGUCUGCUAAGAGGCCCACCCCGUGGCCUAUACUGUGCCAAUGCACCAGCAACAGCUGCAGGAUUUUGACUGGGCUCGCCACAUAGUGUUCCCAUUCUAUAUAGCUGUGACUUAACAAGAAAUGGAAACUUCUUAUUGUAGGAUGGGCCUAGCUUUCAAGGGUGGUUCAGAGCAUAAGUGAGACACAUGCUUCUGGUGACAGAUCUAAUAAUGAACACCUCCACUCACAAUAGCUUGCCUUGUAUAAUGCAGGGCAGGAAAUUAAUCCUCGGGCUAUUUCAGAUGUGAAGGUAAGAAGGAUUUGUAGUCUUACCACUGCUAGGUUUGAAGCCAGCACUCUCAUCCUGGUGGAAAUGGUAGCAGAUGGUGCAUGGGUAAGCCUGGCUGGGGUGCUAGUGUGGUUUGGAAGACACAAGCCCCUAUACUGUAAAGAACUGGGAGCUAGGGGCAAGCUCUGAAUCAAGUUUCUACUACAGUGUGCUGUAGGGAGGGGUGCCCUUAUCUGAGUAUGGAACGGAUGAACUAGAGAUGAGACUUCUGUAUUCAGAUUGUUUUCCUGUGCAGUAGGUAGGAUUUGCUCUUCUCUCCUAACAUAACCUUGAUAUACAGGUGUGUGCCUGUAUACAAAAAGGCUGAGAAAAAUGAUAUACAGUCAUACCUUGUUAUGUUUGCUUCAGGUUACGUCUUUUCAGGUUGCGUCCUGUGGCGACCCGGAAGUACCGGAGUUUCGCCACUCAUGCAUGCGCAGACACGCAAAAUGAUGUCACGUGCAUGUGCAGAAGCGGCAAAUCGCAACCCGUGCAUGCACAGAUGCGGGUUGCGUUCCUUUUAGGUUGCGAACGGGGCUCCAGAACGGAUCCAGUUCACAACCAGAGGUACCACUGUAAUCAGGUCAGGACUCUGAACUGUGGCUGCUCCAGGAAAAUUGGAAAAGUUGGAGUGCCAAUGAGUGUUCUAAUCAUACAUCAAACGAACAGAAGUUACAGAUAGUGUAACUUGCGCUGUGAAUGAAGAUGUUUUAAUAACCCAUUGAAGAAAUACAUUAGCAGGCUCAAGAUGACUUGCCUCUUUCCAUUUCCUCUAUGAGUUAAAGUUGCAACAUUUGGGGCUUUUUAGAGGACAGAAGAGUGAGCAAGAGGGGAAAUGACAGGUGUAUAAAAUUAUGCAUGGUUGGAGAAUGUGGAUACAGAGAGGAAAUUCCCUCCCUCUCAUAGCACUAGAACUGGGGACAUCCAACAAACCUAAAUAUUGGAAGGUGCAGGGCUGACAAAAGAAAGUUCUGCUUCGCAGAUUAGACAAAUUCAUGGAGGAUAAUAUUAUAUUCUCCUUCCAGUGUUGUAGGCAGUAUACCAGUGGCUGGGAAUCACAGGUGGGAAGAGUGGUGAGGAGAGUAUUGUUCUGCUCCUGUUCUGCUUGCUUGUGUUUGGAGAAGAACAAACCACCAGUGUGCGAAUUCACCUAUAAGAUGAGGCCAGCCUCUGGUUUGUUUGCCUUUCUCUGGCAUGGCAGCAGCAGGAGUGGGGAAGGAACAAAAUGAGGACCUUUGAGCAGCAUGACCCUGCACUCUGCUCAUUCACAUUAAGCCACGGUUUAUUUUUAACUAUUGUUUAUUUUUAACCAUGAUUUAAUGUGAUGCAUGAACCUUUUUAAUUUGAGCACUCUUAAUUGUAUAAAUUAGAAGACCUGAAAACUUAUCUGACUUGUGGAAACUGAAUUAUAACCAUAACUGCUAGUCUUUAUUAUGCUACAUUAUGUAUGAGAUAAUUCAAUUAUUUUUUUCAAUGUUAUCUACCAUAUAGAAUCUAAUGGGCGUGAUCUAGAUAGAGUUAGGCAUCUAUAAGCCCCACUGAUUUCAAGUGAUCACUCCACACCUGGGCUGGAUCUUGCCCUACUAUAGAUGUCUGAUUAAAUCAUUGGCUACCAGCAGGUCGAUAACACACUUCCCUGCUGUUCUGUGUUUGUGACACACUAUAAUCCGGAAAAUGUGGCUUAAUAUAUAGGGGCAUAUAGGGUGAAGAGUAUCCGCUUUUGGUCAUUGGUUGAUCUAGAGACCUGCAGUGCCAGCUGGUUACAUGAUUCUAUUUAGGGCUAAAUAUAUCAAGUUGCUUUCCCAGGAAGUUAUCUGCACAUGCUUUUCUAUCCAUGUUGUAUGUCGGGCUGAUUUUUAAAGGAAUAAAAAUUAGUUCACUGCUGAGUUAACUUUUCCUCCAGAUUUUGUCUAUAUUAUUUAUUUUCAUAUUUGAUUGUAAUUUGUUUAAAGUAAGACUGCUAAUGGAGCAGUGAUCAGUAAUUAGUUGGCAGUCAUGCUAUGGCAUGAAUAUAAAAAUGGAAAGAUUAAAAAAAAGUGGGCGACCUUCAGAUAGACCCCUUUAAAACCUUAUACUAUUUGUCACUGGCUGCCUUGGAACAUGUCUCAUUUGUAAACUAUACAAAAACCAGAUAUGUUGCCUUUAGAACAAAGAAACAAUAUUUAUAUGAACUGAAUUGUGCAUCUUAAAAUACAGAUAAAAUGUACUUCAGGUUAUUCAUUUAACACAAGGGUAGGCAACCUAAGGCCCAUGGGCCAGAUCUGGCCCAAUCACCUUCUAAAUCCGGCCCACGCACGGUCCGGCAAUCAGUGUGUUUUUACAUGAGUAGAAUGUGUCCUUUUAUUUAAAAUGCAUCUCUCGGUUAUUUGUGGGGCAUAGGAAUUCGUUCAUUUACCCCCUCAAAAUACAGUCCGGCCCACCACAUGGUUUGAGGGACGGUGGAUCGGCCCACGGCUGAAAAAGGUUGCUGACCCCUGAUUUAACACCUGCAUUUGCAGAGAGAGGACAUGUGGAUUCUUAGUAGCAAUGCAGGAAAGUGUCAAUUUUGAUUUCUCUUAGUUUCCUAUUUUUCCAGACUUGGGUUAAGUUUGUCACAUUUCUACAACCAUUUGUGAUUUUUUAAAAGAAGUUUUCAAGGGAAUUCAUCUGUUUUAUAUUGUGUAUAUCUCCAAAUGUGCAUAUUUUUGUAAUUUCCCUUAUGAUGCAUUUUCACUAAUGUGUUUUUAUGCACAUUUUGCACACUUUCCCCAGAUAUAUGCAUUUUGUACACACUUUUUGUUGAAAAACUGCACCACAAAAAUUGAAGACGUGCAAAUUUUGAAGGAUAGCUGUGUUUCUGUUUGCAUAUAAUUUCAGGAAGUUAAAAUUUCGAACUUCCGCUUGCAAAUGAGUACCAAACUGACACCCCCCCCCCCGUGUUUAGUUGAGUUUAUGACAAUCCAUGCUAUGGAACGAAUUCAUGUAUGUAUGUGUGUAUGUAUGAAUAAAUAAAUCUUAAUUGCAAUGUACAAUUCCCUGUACAAACCAGAUCUAAAAAUGGUUAAUUUAACCAAGGGUGGGGUGGGACAGGACAUGGAGAAGCGUUCCUCUGUUGUAAGCAUUUUAUGCAUCUCUAAUAAAAUGCCAUCUAACAAUCCAUAUUUGUAUGCGUGUGUAAUUUAUAACAAUGAACAUGUGGAGCAAACGGGUCUAAGCAGUAUUCUUUUCCUCCUGCUAUCAGACAAAGGUAAUUAAUAAUAUAAAUGCACCUUAUGCCUAUAUGCAGAGGUUCGUAAACCAUAGAAAUCUUGAGGUUUGAGUAAAAGCCAGACAGCUUCCUCUUCUUGUUGCCAUAUGCUACAUCAUUUACCUUCUUGGUGUGUGUGUGUGUGUGUGUGUGUGUGUGUGUGUGUGUACAGGCAAUCUGUAUUCUGAAGAAUUGUGCUCUUUCUUUUCAUUCUGCUCUGUCGGUGGUCAUCACAGCUAUUCUCUUCAUGAAUAUGUAAAUCCCAUGCAUAAAACCACAAAAAUUAGCAUGACAGCUCUUCGCCCACCCCACCCCACCCCACCCGCCCCAAACGUGACCAAUUAUAUUGAACUAAUACAUGAAAAGUGAUGAUUUAAUCUUUUGGCCAGAUGAAUAGUUUCCGGGACGGCUACAAGGGAGUCUAUUAAUUAUCAAACCGUUGGAUACGUACAUAUAUAGCCACCCUAUGCAUCUAACGAUCAUUACACUUCUGUGGGUCUGUGAUAGUGCAGAUGCAGAUAUAUUUCCCAGGAUCUAGUUAGGGGUAAUACUUUGUCGUUGCCCUAUCUAUCUGAGCAUUUGCCGACUUGAAGCAUAUUUGUCUUUUCGGUUUCUUAGCAGAAUGCUACAAUGAAAAAUAGGGAAGGGAAGGGUAAAUAAAUAAAUAAAUAAAUAAAUGGAGGAAGGAAAGAAGGUUUGAAAGCAGAUCCUGCAUUUUCCCCAUGUGCUCUCAAUUCGUUUAGUUAAAGGAUGGAAGCACCGAUGGGUGGUGUGGGUGGGGGUGAGAAGCAUAAGCAAUUGAUGCGUUUUAUUAUUUAAAUCACCAGCCGUGUUCAUGCACAUUUAUAUCGGGUGACGUCAAUGCGACCCUUUUUUUUUGGAACGGUGGUACUGCAGCUCAUACACAGUAAUUAGGCUGAUGUAAUUAUAGUUAAAACAAAGGAGGAUGCCGCUGCUGAUGGCUUUUUUUAAAAAAUUGAAAUAUUAAAGGCGGACACAUAUUCCAGCACAUGGUAAAUGAACCUGAACUGCUGUCAGGGGCUAGGAGGACAGUGUGGCCAGUUGCACCUAUUGUGUCACUGCUGUAGAAAGGAGCUUACUGAUUGGCCACUGUCUGCAGCACAUAAUACUGACUGGUUAUAAAAGACAUGUCUGGGGGGGAAAGCCUGUAGGUACUCCAUUGUCUGGCAAAGUUGAUAUCACUGCAUUUCCCCCCCUUCUCCUUCCCAGAGAGUCAGACAGCUGAACUGUAAAAGCUGUACAGAUCCCCCCCCCCUUUCUCUUACAAUACAGAUUUUUUUUUUGUUUCGUUUCGUUUGGUAUCAUGGCCCCGCUUCAGUUUGCAUACUUAAACAGAAUACUAAUUAAGAUCCCUUGUCUUAAAUAGAAAAAUUACACGGAUGCAAAUAGGAAAAAACCCCCAGCGCUUUAGCUCUUUUUUUCUUU